rnacentral:snRNA from 1 species
GUGCUCAAUUCGGCAGCGCAUGUACUAAACCUGGACCGAUACAAAGAUUAGCAUGGCCCCUGCACAAGGAUGACCCACAAAUUCAUGAGGCAUUCUGUAGUGCG